GCCCUGAGCUGUGAUCAGCCCGCGUGAAGACCCCAAAAGAUGGGCAGCUAUCCAGUUUCUGUGCUCUUAUGCUGUUUUUUCUUUGUACUUGUUACUGUCCGAGCACAACAAACUGGUAAUUCACUGUUUUGUUCACUAAUUCAACUGUUUUGUUAAACGAUUGUGUGAAAACUUGUGUUUGUAUAGGGAGACCAGGCCUAGUUGUCACAUGGGGAAGUUAAUUAUUUAUU